rnacentral:sRNA from 1 species
AGUGCGUUACUUACCUCGACUCUUAGCUUGUCGGGGACGGUAACCGGGACCCGGUGUCUGCUCCUGUCGCCUUCGCCUCCUAAUCCCUAGCCACUAUGCGUGAGUGCAUCUCCAUCCACGUUGGCCAGGCUGGUGUCCAGAUUGGCAAUGCCUGCUGGGAGCUCUACUGCCUGGAACAUGGCAUCCAGCCCGAUGGCCAGAUGCCAAGUGACAAGACUAUUGGGGGAGGAGAUGACUCCUUCAACACCUUCUUCAGUGAGACGGGCGCUGGCAAGCACGUGCCCCGGGCUGUGUUUGUAGACUUGGAACCCACAGUCAUUGGUGAGUUGACCUCAGUAACCUGAGAUCCCAGGAUGCUGGGACAGGUCUGUCCAGGGGCUUCUCUUGUCACUCACUCACUCCCUCCGUCCUUUUCUCCCUCCUCCAGAUGAAGUUCGCACUGGCACCUACCGCCAGCUCUUCCACCCUGAGCAGCUCAUCACAGGCAAGGAAGAUGCUGCCAAUAACUAUGCCCGAGGGCACUACACCAUUGGCAAGGAGAUCAUUGACCUUGUGUUGGACCGAAUUCGCAAGCUGGUAAGCACCACAAGUAAAUAUGCAUUUAAUGUGGUGUGAUAGUUCCAGUGCAAGUUGGGUGGAGUGACUGACAUUCAUUCUUUGGCACCUACCAAAAUGUGGAAUAGGCUGCUUGCUAUAUUAAUUGGACUUCUAAAUCAGAUAGUCCCUAGGUUAUGGACAGUUUGUGGAUAUGUCUGUUUUGCCAAUUCCUUGUGCUUACAUCAAUGAGAUACGGUUCGUAAUCUAAAAAGUUUAAGUAGAAAUUCUAAGAUAAUG